GCGGUAAUACGAAGGGUGCAAGCGUUACUCGGAAUUACUGGGCGUAAAGCGUGCGUAGGUGGUUGUUUAAGUCUGUUGUGAAAGCCCUGGGCUCAACCUGGGAAUUGCAGUGGAUACUGGGCGACUAGAGUGUGGUAGAGGGUAGUGGAAUUCCUGGUGUAGCAGUGAAAUGCGUAGAGAUCAGGAGGAACAUCCAUGGCGAAGGCAGCUACCUGGACCAACACUGACACUGAGGCACGAAAGCGUGGGGAGCAAACAGGAUUA
rnacentral:rRNA from 1 species